GGUGCGGGCGGCCUGGGCCGCCGACGCCGACGCCUCCGAGGCGUCGCGGUGCCGGUUCAGGGCCUGGCCGGCGGCG
rnacentral:tRNA from 1 species